rnacentral:misc_RNA from 1 species
GGAAGGAUCAUUAUUGAAAUAAAUCUGAUGGGUUGUUGCUGGUUCUCUAGGGAGCAUGUGCACGCCUUGUCAUCUUUAUAUCUCCACCUGUGCACCUUUUGUAGACCUUUCAGGUCUAUGUUGCUUCAUUUACCCCAAUGUAUGUUAAUAGAAUGUUGUGCCUAUAUACAAUAUAUACAACUUUCAGCAACGGAUCUCUUGGCUCUCGCAUCGAUGAAGAACGCAGCGAAAUGCGAUAAGUAAUGUGAAUUGCAGAAUUCAGUGAAUCAUCGAAUCUUUGAACGCACCUUGCGCUCCUUGGUAUUCCGAGGAGCAUGCCUGUUUGAGUGUCAUUAAUAUAUCAACCUUCUCUUGUGGAAUGGUUUGGAUGUGGGGGUUUGCUGGUCUCAUAUAUAUAUAUAUGGGUUCAGCUCUCCUGAAAUG